UACGUAGGGUGCGAGCGUUAAUCGGAAUACUGGGCGUAAGCGUGCGCAGGCGGUUAUGCAAGACAGAUGUGAAAUCCCCGGGCUCAACCUGGGAACUGCAUUGUGACUGCAUAGCUAGAGUACGGUAGAGGGGAUGGAAUUCCGCGUGUAGCAGUGAAAUGCGUAGAUAUGCGGAGGAACACCGAUGGCGGAAGGCAAUCCCUGGACCUGUACUGACGCUCAUGCACGAAAGGCGUGGGAGCAAACAGG
rnacentral:rRNA from 1 species